AUUCACGAACUCAUCCACACAAUCAUCCACCAACGCAUCCAGUAUCCACAAGCCAUCUAUCAUCAACGCAUCGGCCCAUCGAUCAACACACAACGCAACCAUCCAUCCUCGACGCAGCCAUCCCUCGUCAUUAACACAUCCAUCAUCCAGCACCGAAGCGACAGCACACGCGCGGCCGGAGCACACCGGCGGUGGCGAGCAGCUUCGGACGAACCGGCGUCCGGCAGGGGAGCACGAGGAGGGAGAUGGAAUCGAUGGUCUUCCAAGGCAAGUGUGCCAAACCAAACAAGCAAAAUCUCAGGUUGCCUGACCAGGCAAAGCACAUGCACUUCUCCGAUGUUUCUCAGGCACCUAAAUUUCUCAGGCACAGCUCCCAGGGCACCAACCAAACAGGCCCUAGAUCGGUGACCGGCGGCCGGCGGCAUCCGUGCAGGCGACGGCGGCUAUGGACGACCGGCAGCCGGCGGCACUUCGUGUGGGUGACGACGGCUUUCGAUCUACGUCAACAAAUAUCGGCGACCGGCGGCCGGCGGUCUCCCAUCGCAUGAUCGGAUCGGCGAUUGGCGACUGGCGCGUGGCGGCAGCACCCGAAGGACGACAGGACGACCGUCGGCCUCACAUACACACACGUCGCACGGCGGCGUGGCGGCAGCGACGGGGAGAUAGCAAGUUAGCAAAUGCAAGCAUGCUAAUUAAGCUAAUUAUGGUGGCAACAUGGCCGACCAAUCAGAAGACGACACAUCAUCAAAAUGCUAUAGUACCAUGCAACAAGUCCUGUUCAUUCUUGUCCUUCUCAACGGGGUGUUAGCUGUGAUUAAAUCCAGCUAUUAUAUGCGCUGAUCAUCUCCAACAGUUCCUGAUUCUCCUCUAAUCUAAUCUCGACGCAACUGCUGUGACGUCAAGUCGUUCGAGCUACGCAACUCCAUGCAUGUCUUCACCAACAAUCUACAUCGACACGUUGUUCAAGACCGACGAGGCUAGACGACGGAGGGUGGGCGAAGCUGAUGCGAAGGCCACGCUACCAACACCGGCGCACGGACCGACGAGGCCGUGGAUCGCUGCCGGAGCUCACGUCUACACAUCUACAUCAUCAUCACAACCAUGCAUGGAGAACGCGAAGCGAAGACGACGAGACGACCACAAGCAGCUUAAUUGGAGGUUCUCUUGCAUGCCUAAACUUGCGGAGGUAAUUAACUGGGAGCUUCUCGAGGCCUCAGGAACCAGGAGACCACAUCGCACAAGUCAGAUCUGUCCAAUGACAGAUUAUGGAGCGCGCAUACAUAUAUAUUGCAUUGGGAAUUUGUAUUUAUGAUCUUUUAAGAUUAAUAAAGAGCAUGUUCCCUAUGUUUUGUUUA